rnacentral:rRNA from 1 species
GAUGAACGCUGGCGGCGUGCCUAAUACAUACAAGUCGAGCGAACGGACGAGAAGCUUGCUUCUCUGAUGUUAGCGGCGGACGGGUGAGUAACACGUGGAUAACCUACCUAUAAGACUGGGAUAACUUCGGGAAACCGGAGCUAAUACCGGAUAAUAUUUUGAACCGCAUGGUUCAAAAGUGAAAGACGGUCUUGCUGUCACUUAUAGAUGGAUCCGCGCUGCAUUAGCUAGUUGGUAAGGUAACGGCUUACCAAGGCAACGAUGCAUAGCCGACCUGAGAGGGUGAUCGGCCACACUGGAACUGAGACACGGUCCAGACUCCUACGGGAGGCAGCAGUAGGGAAUCUUCCGCAAUGGGCGAAAGCCUGACGGAGCAACGCCGCGUGAGUGAUGAAGGUCUUCGGAUCGUAAAACUCUGUUAUUAGGGAAGAACAUAUGUGUAAGUAACUGUGCACAUCUUAACGGUACCUAAUCAGAAAGCCACGGCUAACUACGUG